AUCCUUUUGUAGUUCAUAAGUCUAAUAAUUGUUUUCAUACUCAUGAGUGAGAUGUGCCUCCCUCAAACCUUGUUAUGGCAUCAUCUCUUUACCCUUCUGAUA